CAAUAGCGUAUAUUAAAGUUGUUGCAGUUAAAAAGCUCGUAGUUGGAUUUGUGGCGUACGGUGUGUUCCGGGCACUUGUUGUCUGAGUAACCUGCUGUUGCCAUCCUUGGGUGGAACCUGUAUGGCAUUAGGUUGUCGUGCAGGGGAUGCCCAUCAUUUACUGUGAAAAAAUUAGAGUGUUCAAAGCAGGCUUAUGCCGUUGAAUAUAUUAGCAUGGAAUAAUGAGAUAGGACUUUUUUGCUAUUUUGUUGGUUUGCGCAAAGAGGUAAUGAUUAAUAGGGACAGUUGGGGGUAUUCGUAUUCCAUAGUCAGAGGUGAAAUUCUUGGAUUUUUGGAAGACGAACUACUGCGAAAGCAUUUACCAAGGAUGUUUUCAUUAA
rnacentral:rRNA from 1 species